rnacentral:rRNA from 1 species
UACGAAGGGGGCUAGCGUUGCUCGGAAUUAGCGUGGGCGUAAAGCGCACGUAGGCGGAUCUUUAAGUCAGGGGUGAAAAUCCUGGAGCUCAACUCCCAGAACUGCCUUGAUACUGAGGACCGUGAGUUCGGGAGAGGUGAGUGGAACUGCGAGUGUAGAGGUGAAAUUCGUAGAUAUCGGGAGGAACACCAGUGGCGAAGGCGGCGAUCGUGGGCAGAUACGUGACGCUGAGGUGCGAAAGCGUGGGGAGCAACAGGGAUUAAGAU